rnacentral:rRNA from 1 species
CCUACGGGAGGCAGCAGUGAGGAAUAUUGGUCAAUGGUCGGGAGACUGAACCAGCCAAGCCGCGUGAGGGAUGAAGGUACAGAGUAUCGUAAACCUCUUUUGUCAGGGAACAAAGGCGGGGACGCGUCCCCGGAUGAGUGUACCUGAAGAAAAAGCAUCGGCUAACUCCGUGCCAGCAGCCGCGGUAAUACGGAGGAUGCGAGCGUUAUCCGGAUUUAUUGGGUUUAAAGGGUGCGUAGGCGGACUGUAAAGUCAGCGGUAAAAGCCCGGGGCUCAACCCCGGCCCGCCGUUGAAACUGGCAGUCUCGAGUUGGAGAGAAGUAUGCGGAAUGCGUGGUGUAGCGGUGAAAUGCAUAGAUAUCGCGCAGAACUCCGAUUGCGAAGGCAGCAUGCCGGCUCCACACUGACGCUGAGGCACGAAAGCGUGGGUAUCGAACAGGAUUAGAUACCCGGGUAGUC